CUCUAACUUGCUCUAUAGCCUCUUCGGUGGGCAGAUCUAGCAGACUGCAGAUGAGAGCUUAGUUAUUGUGUGUCUAUGAUGAUACUUUAAUCUGUUGGUCUACUAUACACAUAGCUCACGUGGAGUACAUCAGUUUAAGCAACUUUCAGUUUUGAGUGCUUGUGUUUGGAAAUGGUUUGGCGCCGUGGAUCUAAAGUUCUGUCCCUGCUGUUGACAGUGUCUCUCUGUCUCUGUGUGUCACCUUCUCUAGGCACAGGUGCCGUAGAGUUGAAGUACACCAAGACUCCUAUGGUUGGGACUGAGGGCAUGCACUUGAGGCUCAUCUGUAAGGCAGAGUAUGACACAAAACAAUGUGGUCGUAUUGAUGCCUUUUGGUGUCAUCACACAUUGGACGAGUGUCCCAAGCUCAUUGACCACGGCAAGUACCUCACUGUUGUCAACGAGACGUUUAUGGAGGACCACAGUGUCAGACAUAGACACAUUGUAACAGACUUCAUAAAACUGACCCCUGCUGACCGAGGAGUCUAUCAGUGCAAUGCAGUAUGUGAAAUGGGAGGCCAUACUGCCAUGGGACACUUCAUAAAUAUCACAGUCAAAGCAGCUACCAUAGUUGAUCAAAGAAAGGCAAACAACGGUGGACUGAACUGGGCAUACAGCACUGGAACAAUACCCUUCUCCUAAUACUGGAGUUACUUGA